rnacentral:lncRNA from 1 species
AUCACAUUAUAGUAUUAUGUGUAAAUCAGUUUCCAACUGCCAUCUGAUUUUGCAUUAAUUGUUAGGGAGAUAAAGGCGCCAUGGGGAUCCGUGGACUACCGGGACAAAAGGGGAAACCUGGAGAGAAGGGAGUUCCUGGAGAAGCUGGUAUGUCCAUCAUUGGUCCCCGUGGCCCUCCGGGACAGCCUGGAACGAGAGGUUUUCCUGGGUUUCCAGUAAGUAGCACUCUUAAUACAUGCUAUUAUACAUGAAUGAUAUAUUUCUAACUACAGGAUCACUGAAGUUAAAUGCCUCUCAGGACAUUUGUUCUAAAAAGGGCAAUUUAGCGAUUAUGUCACAGAAAACAUUCUGCUUUGUUUUUCCUUGCAAAAAUCUGACUUUUAAAAAACCCUAAGUAAGGCAAUUGUGUUCUUAAAAUUUCCUUUCGCUAAUAAACAAAAAAAAAUGCUGUAAAAUCA